UACGAGAGGCCCAAACGUUAUUCGGAAUUACUGGGCUUAAAGAGUUCGUAGGCGGCGCAGAAAGUAGGGUGUGAAAGCCCUCGGCUCAACCGAGGAAUUGCGCUCUAAACUACUGUGCUCGAGGAAUCUAGAGGUGAGCGGAACUGAUGGUGGAGCGGUGAAAUGCGUUGAUAUCAUCAGGAACACCGGAGGCGAAGGCGGCUCACUGGGGAUUUUCUGACGCUGAGGAACGAAAGCCAGGGGAGCGAACAGG
rnacentral:rRNA from 1 species